UACAGAGGUGGCAAGCGUUGUUCGGAAUUACUGGGCGUAAAGGGCGCGUAGGCGGUCUUGCAAGUCCCGUGUGAAAUCCCUCGGCUCAACUGAGGAAUUGCACGGGAAACUGCUUGGCUUGAGAUCGGGAGAGGGAAGCGGAAUUCCGGGUGUAGCGGUGAAAUGCGUAGAUAUCCGGAGGAACACCGGUGGCGAAGGCGGCUUCCUGGACCGACACUGACGCUGAGGCGCGAAAGCUAGGGGAGCAAACGGG
rnacentral:rRNA from 1 species